CGAGGCCUGUCAUCCGUCCUGUCUGGCCACAUUCAUUCCGGGCUGUCCUGCUUUGUGGCUUCCUCACCACCACCCAAACCUGUCUGCAUGUCCUACAUCCCUCCAGAUCAGCAGAGAUGGCAGAAAUACCCCCUCAGGCCCUGCACGCUCCUGGACACACAGACCCGUCCUUCUUCUCAACAGGACUCCUGUCUCCUCCCGUCGCCCGUCCUCCAAGCCAGCCCUGAUUCCAACCGACGCUGCAAACACCUUGAAUGAGUCUGUUACUGCAAGAUGAGGGCCUCUUGCACCUGACUCCCUCGGAAUGCCCAUCCCUUGAUGCCUCCAGGCUCCAGCAGAGGAGGGUCGGGGAGCUCAGAUUUUAGAAAGGAUGGAGGAUCCUGGAAGAUUUCCUCCUCCUCGACCAGCAGAAAGAGAAAACAGGAAUCCAAGUUGGAAAAUUCAGUUCUCAAUGAACAUAAUGACCUUCAUAAUUUUCUUCUCUGUAGCAGAUAUUUUGAUGGCUAUUCCCAAGGACCUCACCGUUUACGCAAGAUAACUGGUCUGACAUUCCUGUGUUAUCAAAUCUCCCUUCAGACACUUCCAGAAUCUGGAGAGUGGUUGUGAGCUGAUAACAGUGUAGGAGUGCCAGUACCAACAAUGACUUUGGAUCUUGGGGUCCUUGUACCCUCAUGAAAUAGCCCUGUUCACCUUGUAGAACUGUGUCUUCUCUCCUUGGAAAUGUUUAAUGUCUGGCUGUCACGGCCAGUUUUACUAUUUAGGACAUGCGCACAUACAUCAACCUUAGGCAGAGCAUUAAGAAGAGAGAAUCCUUGUCUCCAUCUUUUCCCUUUCACUUCCCAAUUCCCCAGGCAUCAAUGCCCCGAUUCCUUUCCCCAGGGUUUAUCUCAGAGCAUGAAGACCAGGCAUGCUGUGGUUGGGCCAGCCAGGAUGCCAUUUACUCCACCAGAGGGAAGAGUCAAUGCACUGAGGACAAUUCCUGUAACUUUUCAGCACCUGAGGGUGUCGGAGAAGAAUGUGGUGAGACCAUCCAUCCAUGCUUCUGUGUCUUAUCCUCCCUGGACAUGCCAUCCGUGGACUUCAAAUCCGUCUCCGUGGGAAGCAAGCCCCAGGUUGUGCGUCUAUCGCAAACCGCGUCUCCAUCUUUGCGGACCAAGCUCAGUUUACUUUCACGUAUACAAAUGGGGCUGCUGGCCAGAGGCCUCCCAGGGAUUUCAGCGCGUGGGUUCGCGUGUGCUACUGACAGCAAUUCUCUCUCUCACUGAUUUAGAACGUCCACCUUGGUAUGGCAUGCAUCUACUUCUUAACCUUUAUUUACUUUGAAUGUUGAUCCCAGCACACCAUUUGCAGAAAACACAAAGGUGUUUCAAAAGAGCUGACAGGACCUAGUGGCUUGACACCCAGGUCUCCUGUCUUACCGGUCAACUAAGAGUAGCAGCAAUGCAGCUGAUGGAAAUAUCACGCCCAUGAGAGUCAGACCAACUGGUUAAACUCUUGGCUCUGCCAUGUGGAAGCUGUGUGGCUUAGCACUGAUUUCUACUGGGAACAAGUUUCUACUCCAUUCCCACGCCACAGUCAGAGAGUUGAGGGGGCAAAUAGGUCUUUACCCGGAAGCCCUGGAAACCUGAUCGCACGGUUGGCUGUGCGCCACCUGGUGGUGGAAAGAGGUAAAGCAGCAUCCUGAGGACAACAGAGUUUUGGAGCAAGAGGGACUUUUUAAAAUGACUUUAAUCUUGCCCCCUUAUUUUCAAUGGAGGAAAUUCAGGCUUAGAGAGAAUGACCGGCUUGUCUGAGUUCUCACAGGGGUAGAGUGUUGUGGUUAAGAGCAAGCAUUCUGGCGUCGCUGUGUCUGAAUCCAGCCUUGGCAGUCAGGAGCUGGCAGUGUAACCUUGGGCAAGUUUUGUAACUUCUCAGUAAUCAGGUUUCUUAUCUAUGAAAUCAUGCUCGCCACCUCAAGGGUUUUUAAGAUGACUAAAUUAGACAAUGCGUGUAGAAGUGCUUAGAACUGUGCCUGACUUCGGUAAGAGAUAAAUCUCUUACAGCAAUUUAUCCAUCUUUAAUAAUUUUCCCUACAAUGGAGAACACUCUUGCGAUUUCUCAUUCUGACCUGAGAGUAGGAGAAUGAAGAAUCGUAAAGACCAUAGAAGAAAGCAGCAGCAGAUAUCUGGCUUUCGGAGGGAACAUUUGACUCUGGUCUUUGAGUAAAGGGAGAGUGGAAGCUGCCAUUGGAUGCCAUUGUGGCUCAAAUUCAUCACCGCAGAUUCAAUGUCUUGGGUACUCUAUCAAUAUUUGCUAAAUGAGUGAAGGGAAAGGGGCCUGAGCACAGGGCUUGUGGACAGGAGUGACUCUUGUCUCAGAAAAGAGAGAUAGGAAAGAGAACUCAGAGAAGUCUCAUUUGGCCCUGUCCACUUGUGGCCCCAAAGGCCAGCUGGGAACCACUGCAGCAGGAAUUUCUCUGGCUUCCUCUGUUCUUAUAGUAAUGACAUUUACAAAGCCCACUUACUUAAUGCUACAGAUACCGUAUUCUUUCAAUAAGUGUGGACACCUUCAUCCUGUCUGUGGCUGGUCUGGCAGUUCCAUUGAAAACAGGACAGGUGAACCCUGCCAGAAGCCAGGGAGACAGGAGGGAAGAAAGGAAAUGAAUACCUCCACCUCUUUCUCCUCCUUCUCUCUAAUCUACUAAUGGUGCCUCCCAUGGGUCUGACCCAAGUCAGAGCCAGGGGCCAAGGAGCCCAGGUGAUGCAGCCCAGAGCCGUCAGCCUGCCAGGCUGAGGAACAGCUCAGAACACGGAUCCGAGGGAGCAAUGGAGAAGAAUAUGCACAGCUCGUACAUAUGCAUAGGAAGUUUAAAUUUUUCUGUUAUUUAUAUAUUCAACAGUACCUCUCUCAGUUUGAAGAAGUUCUUCAUAACCUCAUCUUAUGGUAUUGUAUUUCCACUCGUGGUGAAAAAAAAAAAGGAUUUUUUUCCCCUUAUCCUUCCCCAAUCCCUUUGCUUAUUCUCCUCCAAAUUCUUGUUGUGGCUCACACCCAGUAUCCACUAUGAUGGUGGAUAUUAGGAACUUAGAUGGAAAUGGAUAGAGAAACAGACAAGUGCACUUUUCUAGAACAUUCCUCACCUUCCCCAACCUUCAGUUUGUUCUCAGGGGCCUGCCCAUGAUGCUGGUGCCUAUGCAGAGUCCAGGAGGGAAAGAUGGAAAGAGGGUGAAGUGGGAGACUCAUGGAGAAGGAAAAGGAGAGAAAGGCUCGAUGGUGUCUUGAUUUGCAGUAGGCACCAUAGCUAAGGUUCCUUCACUCUAUUUCUAUAGGCCCAUGGACCCACUCAUUGAAUCAAUUAAUAUUUAUUGAAUAUAUAAUUGGGCCAGACACCGUGCUAAGCACUGAUGAGCAAUGCACAGCCCUGCCUGUAGGGAUCUUAGAGUCUACUUAUAUUUCACUGGUGCUGACAAUGUACAGCAGUUCACAUGUAUCACCCGAUACAGGAUGUGCCCGAGACAGGAUGGAGCCCUGAGGAGGGUACUGAAAGGUUAGGGAAGGCUUCCUGAGUUGACUCUUAGGAACCGAGUAUGGGGCCAGGAGAUGAACAGAUGAAGGGAGCGGAGGGAGGAGAGGACACACUGGCAGAAGGGAGAUCUUGUGCAAAGGCAUGAAACAGCCAGAAGAGUUUGAGGCUGUUCUGGGAGACUGGGGCAAAGCGUGUAGGAAGCCCGGAGAGGAGGCUCAGGGGAAGUAGGCAGGUCCCAGAGCACCUGAAGGAUACGGUAAGUACUUCGAUUUUAUUCUGAGGAGAACAGGAAGGCAUCAAAGAGUUCCUCUCAGAGAGUAACUUGGCAAACACCAGUGUUAAAAACAAUCAUGGCGGCCGUAGUGAGGAGGCUGAGUGGGGCUGAGAAAUGGGAGUAGAGGGCUCUUACAGUAAACUGGGCAACUGAUGGCAAAUCCUGACCUUAGCUGGCUGCGAUCAGAGACCGGGAAUAAGGGAUGACACAGUCCAUAAAGAGAGGGCGGAGAGAGACAGCAUCCAGGAACAUCAGCUUCAGUUUCUGCCUCAAGUAAUUUGUCUUUUCUGCUUACACAAAAUUACUCCGUGAAUUUUGCUCCCUGUUUCAGUUAAAUGCAACACGGAGAGGGGAGAAAACCCUUUCUAGAUAAACAUCUAUUCCUUACAGAACCCACAGUCUCUACUGUCUACUUUGUUUAUGAAUUUCUACUUGAUUAUCAGAGAGAUGUGACUCUGAUCACAUCAAGCCCUUGAGGGCUUGUUCUUGGCAACACUAAGUCCCGUGGAAACUCUUGCUGGAACAAUCCAGUGCUCCCAAGCUCCCAGGUUAGGGUCUGAUGUGUGUCUCUGCCCAGACGCCUCGAGUGCGGGCAGCAACGCAGACCAUUGCCUUCAGCAAGGCGAAGGGGAUCCUGGCUGUAUGGUUUUUACCAUUUUCCAUCUUCAAUUGGAUGACUUUCUUUUAAAAUUCUUCCAGUUCGUUGAUGUGGAACAGCUACAGUUAAAACAUGUUCCACAAACUGACUCAACAAGCUUGCCUGGUUUAUCAUUGACUGGCUCCGUGUCAAACCCCUAAGUUUAUAUCUGUCCCCCGGAGACUGGACAUGGACUCCAUUUGUAGAAAAGAGCUAUUUUGGAAUGAAUGUUGCUGCUCCCCAUUUUCUUUGACAGCUUCUUCCCGAAUGUCAUGAGAAGCCUCAGGAGGACAGUUUGGGGUAAUCUGAAGUCCAUAUUCCCACCUGUAACCCGUGAGACUGAGUCAAGACCAGCUGACCUUUGAAGCAGAAAGAUCAUGUAUAAAUCUGAUUCUCCGUGACAUUUUGGCCCAGACCAGAGCCCACGAGAAAACUUCAGGCGCUGCAGCUGCAGAGCUGUAACCCCUCUCCUGGUGGCACAGCACUUCUGCCACAGUGCUGGUCCCUAAGGGAAGAGGACCAUCAAGAGAAUAAGCCGCAGUCGACAGGGGGACGUUCUGCAGCAUCAACAGUGGAGACCGUGCCAGGGGACGGCCAGAAACUGCAGGGAACAUGGGGCCAAGGUGGGCCCUCGAUGACUCUCUUCUGCCUCUGAGGCAAAGCCACUCAUACGAUGCCUAGCAGCAGGGGCCUGGCAUCCUUUGGGUCAGGGGUCCUCUCAGCAGCAGGCAGAGCCAUUCAGAGUUCAAUUUCCUAGAGACAUUCUGUUCCAGGUUCAAAUCUGGUUCUGCUACUCAUCAGCUGGGGGACCCAGGCAGGUGGCGUAAUCUCUUUGUGUCUCAGUUUCCUCAUCUAUAGGAUGGGGGUAUAUUAGUUUCUUGCGGCUGCUGUAUCAGAUUUACAAUUUGUAUAGCAAGUUACCACCUACUCUGUAUGUGGUACCAGAAAUUUGUUCUUUCACAACUCUGGAGACCAAAGGUCUGAAACGAGAGUCCCUCCAGAGCUCCAGAAGAGCAUGCUUUUGUGGGGGGACUGGUCUUGGUCACCCCAAGAUAUGUCUCUUUGGCAUGAGGAUUAUUUGGGGCU